GGGGAUUUAGCUCAGUGGUAGAGCACUUGCCUAGCAUGUGCAAGGCCCUGGGUUCGGUCCCCAGCUCCG
rfam:Rattus norvegicus chromosome 1, whole genome shotgun sequence.